rnacentral:rRNA from 1 species
UACAGAGGUCUCAAGCGUUGUUCGGAUUCAUUGGGCGUAAAGGGUGCGUAGGUGGCGCCGUAAGUCGGGUGUGAAAUUUCGGAGCUUAACUCCGAAACUGCAUUCGAUACUGCGGUGCUUGAGGACUGGAGAGGAGACUGGAAUUCAUGGUGUAGCAGUGAAAUGCGUAGAGAUCAUGAGGAAGACCAGUGGCGAAGGCGGGUCUCUGGACAGUUCCUGACACUGAGACGAAGGCCAGGGGAGCAAACGGGAUUAGAACCGGUACCUC